GUUGGUGCUCUGUUGAAGCAAUAUAUGAAUGUAGUUUGGAAAACUGCAUGUGGUAUGUUGUUCUAGUCCGUGAUGGUGACUGGUACAUAUCUGAAGGAUCGCUGUAACAAAUUUUUGAUGCUAUUGUCUUGAUGAGCUGAAUGGUCACGUAUAUAAUUUUUAAACAUCUUUUGCUUAUCCACUGUUGAUCCGUAGUUAGUUGCUGAACUUCUUUCUUGUCAAUCUUGUUUUUCC
rnacentral:lncRNA from 1 species